rnacentral:piRNA from 1 species
UAGAACUCAUUAUGCAGAUCUGGUUGGCCUU